rnacentral:rRNA from 1 species
UACGUAGGGUGCGAGCGUUAAUCGGAAUUACUGGGCGUAAAGGGCGCGUAGGCGGCCGAUCAAGUCGGGGGUGAAAGCCUGUGGCUCAACCACAGAAUUGCCUUCGAUACUGUUUGGCUUGAGACCGGAAGAGGUAAGUGGAACUGCGAGUGUAGAGGUGAAAUUCGUAGAUAUUCGCAAGAACACCAGUGGCGAAGGCGGCUUACUGGUCCGGUUCUGACGCUGAGGCGCGAAAGCGUGGGGAGCAAACAGG